UACAGAGGGUGCGAGCGUUAAUCGGAAUUACUGGGCGUAAAGCGCACGUAGGCGGCUUUGUAAGUUAGAGGUGAAAGCCCGGGGCUCAACUCCGGAAUUGCCUUUAAGACUGCAUCGCUAGAAUUGUGGAGAGGUAAGUGGAAUUCCGAGUGUAGAGGUGAAAUUCGUAGAUAUUCGGAAGAACACCAGUGGCGAAGGCGACUUACUGGACAGAUAUUGACGCUGAGGUGCGAAAGCGUGGGGAGCAAACAGG
rnacentral:rRNA from 1 species